GACGAACGCUGGCGGCGCGCUUAACACAUGCAAGUCGAACGGAAAGGCCUGCUUUCCCUUGUGGAUUGCGGGUACUCGAGUGGCGAACGGGUGAGUAACACGUGAGUGAUCUGCCCCCAACUUGGGUAUAAGCCUGGGAAACUGGGUCUAAUUCCCGAUAGGACUGCAGGGUGGUGCCUGUGGUGGAAAACGAUUUUCUAGUGGUUGGGGAUGAGCUCGCGGCCUAUCAGCUUGUUGGUGGGGUAAUGGCCUACCAAGGCGGCGACGGGUAGCCGGCCUGAGAUGGUGGACGGCCACAUUGGGACUGGGAGACGGCCCAGACUCCUACGGGAGGAAGCAGUGGGGAAUAUUGCACAAUGGGCGGAAGCCUGAUGCAGCGAGGCCGCGUGGGGGAUGACGGCCUUCGGGUGGUAAACUCCUUUCGACCGCGAGGAAGCCACCUGGUUGGAAGGGUGGUGACGGUAGUGGUAGAAGAAGCACCGGCUAACUACGUG
rnacentral:rRNA from 1 species